rnacentral:rRNA from 1 species
CCCAAGAGAUCGGGAUAACACCUGGAAGCAGAUGCUAAUACCGGAUAACAACAGAUGAUGCCUAUCAACUGUUUAAAAGAUGGUUCUGCUAUCACUCUUGGAUGGACCUGCGGUGCAUUAGCUAGUUGGUAGGGUAACGGCCUACCAAGGCGAUGAUGCAUAGCCGAGUUGAGAGACUGAUCGGCCACAUUGGGACUGAGACACGGCCCAAACUCCUACGGGAGGCAGCAGCU